GUCACAAGAGCAAAUCGGUCUCACUGGAAACUACUUUCAUUAAACUUUGUUGCAUUGUAAGAAGUUUUAAAAAUAUUUGAUAUCAAAACAGUUUGAGCAGCAGGAAGACACCCGUGCUCACUGCCGUAACACCUCAGUCUUCAGUUUGCAGCAAAACAACAUGGAUGUCAGAGCUCUCGGCAUCAGACUGUUGAUGACCUUUAUGAUUCUGCUGGUUGUUCAGGGUGAGAGAGUUGAUGAUGACAUGUUAUCUUCUAGAGCCAUUUACACCACCUUACGCCCGGGUGAGGCUAAACUCAAAGGUCUCAAAAAGAGCUGAAUGAAGACAAAAAUCACAUCUGAGAGAAAUUGACAUCGAUGAUGUAAUCCACAUUUAUAACAUAUUGUUAUUGCAAAUGAACAUGUACAUCAUCUGCUGGGUAAAUAACUGAACUACAAAGAGCUAUAAGUACCAAUAAAGUUCACAUCCUAACAAA